rnacentral:rRNA from 1 species
UAAGUGUAUGGGGAUCUGCCCGAUAGAGGGGAAUAACUACUGGAAACGGUGGCUAAUACCGCAUAAUGUCUACGGACCAAAGCAGGGGCUCGUUCGGACCUUGCACUAUCGGAUGAACCCAUAUGGGAUUAGCUAGUAGGUGGGGUAAAGGCUCACCUAGGCGACGAUCUCUAGCUGGUCUGAGAGGAUGAUCAGCCACACUGGGACUGAGACACGGCCCAG